UGCAUAACACAUGCAAGUCGAGCGGGACUAUUUGCGAUUACACCAAGAGUAGUCUAGCGGCAGACGAGUGAGUAACACGUAAGUAACCUGCCCUCGAAAGGCGGAUAACGCGCCGAAAGGCGUGCUAAUACGCCGUAUAAUCCCCUGGAGGCAUCUCCGGGGGAUGAUAAGCCCGCAAGGGUUGUUCGAGGAGGGGCUUGCGGCCCAUCAGCUAGUUGGUAAGGUAACGGCUUACCAAGGCUAUGACGGGUACCCGGCCUGAAAGGGCGGACGGGCACGGAGGCACUGAGACACGGGCCUCACUUCUACGGAAGGCAGCAGUGGGGAAUUUUGGACAAUGGGGGAAACCCUGAUCCAGCAACUCUGCGUGAGGGAUGAAGUCUUUCGGGAUGUAAACCUC
rnacentral:rRNA from 1 species